GAAAGCAAAUGAUGCGACACAUCAAUCUUAUACUACACACUGAACAUUUUCAUGUAGAAAAACAACUCUCAAUUAUCUUGUGAUGCUUUU